AAGAAGUUAGUUAAAUAAUAACAUUAGUAUGUCAUACUAAAAUUAUUAAUAAAUAAUACAUCUUA
rnacentral:tRNA from 1 species